UAUUUUCUCCACUAUAAUGUAUUGCCAAAUUUCGUUAUUUCAAUAAUCAAAAUUAAUAUGAGAAAAAAAAAAUGCACAAGUGAUAUUUACACAUGUUGCCUGAAAACAUUGUCAAGACAAUCAAAUAAAUGAUGAGUGAGUCUCAUAAAUUUCAAGAGAAAACAUACUUAUCAGAAUCUGAUAUCUGGACAAAAAUGUCAACAAAUCUGGCUUAUUCCAUGUUUUUCACAAGGGUAGACUACUAUGAACCAGUGAGUUUAAUGACAAUAAACAAAGAGCAGCACUGAAAGGGAAGUAUGGCUUAAAUCACAAAUAACAGGGCUUUUUAUUGGUAAUGAAGCCAAAGUUUGCUUUCAAGUAUCUAAUAAAUAAAUAUGCAUGUGACAUAAGUAAUCAAAACCAUAUAUAUUUAUUGUGUUAGAACAAUAUUUUAAGGAUAAACACAUUUAAAUAUCUAUGUACGUUAACAAUUUAAUUAUUAUUCCAUUUAUGUCAUAUCAGCCUAAUUCUAACAAUAAAUAAUAGCUACACUUAAAAUACAAUUAAAUACUAUUGUAUACCAUAAAGUUCCUUAGUUAACUAUAUAUAUAUAUAUAUAUAUAUA